rnacentral:rRNA from 1 species
AUGAAGAAUGGAUCUGAGGUUUCUAUCGUAUCAUUAUGCGCCUUUCAAGGUCAUUGGACUAGCCAGCAUGAGCUCUUUUACCGAAACAAGGUUAUUGAUCUGACAAGGUUGAAUCAUGAGAACAUAGCAAAGUCUCUAGGCUAUAUGGCAGAUAGAGUGACCCAUUCUCGAGGAUGCUUACGACGUCGUCUAUUGAAGCCCUACCGGCGACACGACGUGACAGCUCUGACUUGUACGUGGGUGUGGGAACGCAGAUCCGCGUUGCCAGUCUACACAAGGCCAUGCUCAACGCGCCGCCACAGGGUUCAUCGCCCGUCUUCGUCAGAUAAGCAAAGAUAUGUAGAGGAUGAACUCAACAAGCGGAUCUUUCAAGCUUAUGGUCUUUGGUCACUGAUUCUGAGUGAUGGGAUAAAUCCUGUUCCUGUGUACCGGUGCUUAGUAGCUAGCGACGUGCGGCUGGUAUUUUUGGUCCUUAUUAAAGAUGGGGUGGGGGGAAAAACUACACCCUAUAUAUCUAUUAAGGAAGAAAGUAAGGACAUGCACAGUACUAAACUCCUUGCCCCCUACUUCUUCUGUCACAUGUGUUGUUCCCUUGUCAUCAGUGAGCUCUAG